rnacentral:misc_RNA from 1 species
UCUCAUCUUCUCCUACCUUCAAGCUCUUAUCCAUGGCUUUCUAUGGUGGUGAGCUUCUUCAUGACUCAUCUUCUCCUUGAAGUGGCGUCUCUGAUCAUCUCUCUCUUCCGUCUCCAUUCCACUGCCAUUCAUUUUCAAGAAGCAAAGGAAUCCAUUGAUGAAGAAGAUCCAAGGCCUACAAGCUCCACAUGGAGCUACAUCAUAAAAAAUUCUCUUACCAAAUUUACUAUUGGCAAAAAUAAUUUAGAUAUUAUAUUAGGAAAGCAAAGAUGUGUGUUUGAUAAGGCUGAAUUAGGAUAUAAACCUGAUAAACAACAAAAAUUUUAUAAAAAAUUCUUUGCAUCCACUCUGUCAUACCCUAAUUUCGU